UCUUUUUUACCAAAUUAAACCUCUCGUUUGUCAAAAUUUGGUUCUUCAAAUCCCUAAACCUUUUUUGAUAUACUCUAUCUAACAAUUGAUGCUACUAACCCAUGUAAGCCCUCUUGUUCGGGUGAUGAUCUCUACAAAAUCUUUCUAAAAACUCGAUCUCCAUUGGUUCCAUAGCCGAUGAUUUAGGCACGAAAACUACAAAAGAAAUGUAAGUCUUUUUCUAUCAAAAAAAAUUUUUCUUCUUUUUUCCUAGUUAAAAUCAUUUUUCUAUGUAAUUAAUAAAAGUGUAUAUUUUGUGAUUUUUGGGAUUUAUUUAUGAAAGAUUGGUGAGGGUUUGCCGAUUAUAAUUUUGUAUGCCAUUCUGGAAUACCAGCGAAAGAAAAAAAUGGGUAAAUCACACGUGAGUAAGUGUACAUUCCCCAAACCCCGGAAAGAUCGAAAUAAAAUCUCAAAUUUCUUCAGAUCUAGUUAUAUAUUUUGGGAGUUGGCGAAUUCGUCCUUUAUUACAUUAUUUGGAGCAUUUAAGUUUGUAUUGUUUCCUCUUAGCAAUUACUCAACUUUUUGGGACCAAGAUCUCGUGGGCCAAUUGCUAUAAUGAAGAUCUGGAAUUUUUGGUUGUUCUAUGUCAUGGAUGAGCUUUGGGGAAGUAUAGUGAUUUUAGUAAGAGAUACUCUUUUUGGGAUUCACUAAUUAGGUAAGCAUAUGUUCAUCCUUUCCUGAAUAUGUUUAAGAACUAGAUGGAGAUGAUGAUUCUAGAAUCUAGUGUAAGUGUCAUAAUUUGAUACAAUAGAGUCAUACAGUUUGGGUGAAGCUUGAGAUUUUUGGUGCUUUCUUUAUUAUAGUCUUAUUGUGCGAGAAAUCCAAUUAAUUAGAUUCUGAUAUUCUCUAGUUCACACACCACUUUGUUUGGACGAUGGUUGCUUCUGUAGUUUUGCGUGCUAAAAUUAGUCUCUUUAUAGUAGCAAUAAGUUGAUGCUUGAUAUCAUUUGGAUACUCGUGCUACUAGACUGUGCCUUCUGCAUCUUCAUGGUUCUGAUGGGAAGGAGGAAGCAUGCUGCCGGUGGCAAAAUAGUGAAAUUCUAAAAUUUUGCUCUAGCUCUAUUUAAUAUUCCUUUUAAUGGUUGAUAACUUAACUAAUAGUUUGAUUUAUGUUGCCAACUGGAGAAUAUUAUUUUUUUUCUUGGUCUACUUGUUAUAUUUUGUUUCAGUUGGUCAUACCAAAUUUUUAAGGUUUCAUUCUGUUCUCUUGGAAUUAUCAUUCUUUUACUCUUGUGCUAGCCAGUUACAAUAUAGUCAUUAACAGUUGUCUAUGUCUAUAUUGUCACUGCUCUUGAGCUUUGGUGGGUGAAAUCGGCUCAUUUUUAGGUCAAGUGCCAUUUUUACUACUCUUUAAAAGUCUCAUUAUUUUAGUUUAUUGCCUUAAUAAACUUGAUUCUAUUAUGCAUAGUAACGGGCUAGUGUUGAAUGAAUCUUCAUUUUACAGAAAAAUAUGUCUUUUUAAGUAAAAAUCACUACAUUAUAUUUAUUAGAUUUUUACUUAAGCAUGAUAUCGAUUUAAGAAAUGUUAGAGCAAUUUACGAGCUGACACUAAUGGUUAAUGAAUGGUGACUCUAAUUAUUUUAACAUAAUGUAAUAUAAGUCUGAAGAAUACUUUUGAUAAUUUGAGUAGUAGAUUAUAGUAUUCUUUCUUUCUAUCGUUAGAAAUUUUUUACCACUGAUGGAGUAAGUAGCAAUGGAGCUGAAAGAUGGUAAUUCCAUGGAGGAACUGCCCUUGUUAUUGGAGUACUACGGGUAUAGAGUAAGCAACAUUUCAAGUCCUAUCCAUUAUUCUUUUUCUCUAUCGUAUGAAAUUUUGGAGUUCAUUCAUUUCAUUUACAGUGUCCAUUAACUUCUAAUUCUUCUUCUUUACUGAUGCACUAGACAUGCCAUAGUUGAAGAAUUGUUGAGCUUUAGUGCAACGAUUUAUACUACUCAUGAAAUAAAAAAUACUUAGACGAAUAUCCGGAGAAACUGGCAAAAGAAGGGGUAUAAAUUAAAAAGGUAUACAUGUUUCUUAUUAUCAGAAGAUCAAUGGCACCCGUAAUUAAAAAACCACUAAAUAAAUCAGUGGGAAUAGUGACAUCUUUGUAAGUGAGAUACCUUAAAUUGUUGUGAAGUUCAUAUUGAAUAUUUAAUUGAAGAUUACUUAUCAUGUAAGUUCACAUUAAAUCCGUUAAUCUAAUGCUCUCCGCAUUCUAUGACUUGAUCAGUUUUGUGGACUCUUUCUUGUUUUAUAUUUUUUAUUUGACUAUGCAUCUUUGAAAAUUGUUAUGUCUUCUGGUUUAUUUUGAGAUUUGAUCCUGUUUAUAUGAAGUUAUUUUUUCAUAUAGUUAGCACAUUUGAUACUUGUUUAUGGCUUAGCUUUAAAUACCUAAUCUCAACAUUAUAUAUAGACUAGAAUUUGGAUCCAUACCAUGUUAAAUUCCAGCUUCAUGUUUCUUUGUGUUUAAUGAUCAGUUUAUAAAGUUUUGCUCAUUUCAAAUAAUUUAUGUCAAGAUUAAAAAGAAUGUCAGCUUAUACUCUAACAUUGUUUGUUUGACAUUCUAAUUUAUUAUUGUGUAUAUUUUUUGCAGUCAAUUUUCCCUUGUUGAUUCAAAUUUUGAAGGUGCAUAUAAUUACACUUGAUAGAAUGUGACAUGUGAGUGGUUUAAUUACUAUUACUCUUAAUUUAGAUGAUUAGCCAAUUUUCUAGUUCAUCUUUAUAGCUUUUUCAUAGAAUGUUUUAUAUUUUUCAUAGGUUUUGGAGACUUAGUUUACACAUCAAGAUGUAGGUUGAAGACUUCAUGCAAGUUGACGAGUUGAUUAUUAUUUUGCAAAGACUGCUAGGCAAAAAUUUAUAUUUUUUGCUAUGGAUCUUAGCUCUUUUACAAAGAGGUUGUGUAAACAAUAAACAAAGAUAUUAUUGAUAAUUUUGUUGAAUCCAAUUGAUUUAUAAUACUAUAAAUUGUAUCAUAUUUUAGUGAAUAUGAUUGAAAAAG
rnacentral:lncRNA from 1 species